rnacentral:rRNA from 1 species
ACGGAAGGCAGCAGUGGGGAAUAUUGCACAAUGGGGGAAACCCUGAUGCAGCGACGCCGCGUGAGUGAAGAAGUUAUUCGUAAUGUAAAGCUCUAUCAGCAGGGAAGAAAAUGACGGUACCUGACUAAGAAGCCCCGGCUAACUACGUGCCAGCAGCCGCGGUAAUACGUAGGGGGCAAGCGUUAUCCGGAUUUACUGGGUGUAAAGGGCGCGUAGGCGGGAUGGCAAGUCAGAUGUGAAAUCCAGGGGCUCAACCCUUGAACUGCAUUUGAAACUGUCGUUCUUGAGUAUCGGAGAGGCAAGCGGAAUUCCUAGUGUAGCGGUGAAAUGCGUAGAUAUUAGGAGGAACACCAGUGGCGAAGGCGGCUUGCUGGACGACAACUGACGCUGAGGCGCGAAAGCGUGGGGAGCAAACAGGAUUAGAUACCCUGGUA